UACGAAGGGGGCUAGCGUUGUUCGGAAUUACUGGGCGUAAAGCGCGCGCAGGCGGCUAUCCAAGUCAGUGGUGAAAGCCCGGAGCUCAACUCCGGAACUGCCAUUGAAACUGUUUAGCUGGAGUAUGAGAGAGGUGAGUGGAAUUCCCAGUGUAGAGGUGAAAUUCGUAGAUAUUGGGAAGAACACCGGUGGCGAAGGCGGCUCACUGGCUCAUUUCUGACGCUCAGGCGCGACAGCGUGGGGAUCAAACAGG
rnacentral:rRNA from 1 species